GGGAUGCCUCCUGCCAUUUGUGAAAUACAUCAGGUACCAUUGUGAGCUACCAAGUGUCACUGAAUUAAAAUGUGAUUAGUCUUCAUAGAGAAAGGAAAAGAAGAGAAUUUCAGCUUGUUCUCAAAGAAUACCAAAAUAGUCUAAGAAAGAAAAAAAAAGUCUU
rnacentral:lncRNA from 12 species